GACGAACGCUGGCGGCGCGCUUAACACAUGCAAGUCGAGCGAAGCGGCGGACGGGUGAGUAACACGUGAGUAACCUGGCUUAGACAUUGGGAUAGCCUCGGGAAAUCGGGAUUAAUACAAAAUGGUCUAAGAUGGACUAGCGUACCAUUAGCUAGUGGGUGAGGUAACGGCCCACCAAGGCGACGAUGGGUAGCCGGCCUGAGAGGGUGAACGGCCACAUGUGAACUGAGAAACGGUCCAACCUCUACUGGAGGCAGCAGUGGGGAAUAUUGCACAAUGGAGGGAACUCUGAUGCAGCGACGCCGCGUGAACGAAGAAGGCUUUCUAGUCGUAAAGUUCUUUUAUAUGGGAAGCGGUACCAUAAGAAAAAGCCCCGGCUAACUACGUGCCAGCAGCCGCGGUAAUUC
rnacentral:rRNA from 1 species